UGGUUUUUGUCGUGGUCCGGCUCACAAAGCGGGUCGGGUUUUUUUUUCUCGUGCUGCCUUUCCCACCAUUUUUUUUUCUCUCUUUCGUUUUCGUCGUCCUCCUCCCAUUGGAGUAUAAAAAAAAUUCCUAAUCCGUAAUCGAAGCUUCCAGAAGACUUCUUCUUCCGUACCUUCCACCCAACGCGAGGCGGCCUUUCCCGCAUCUGGAAGCUACAGUUUCUCUGGCUCAGAUCCGGCCGGGCGGCGGCGGUGUCCAGAUGGCCGAGCAGGAAACCGCCGCCGCGGAGGCCGCGGCCAGUGGCCCCCCUGCUCCUGCGCCUGUCCCGGCGCCGGCGGUGCCAGAGGCGGCGGGGCAGAGGUCGCUGCCGACGCCGUUCCUGACGAAGACGUACCAGCUGGUGGACGACCCGGCGGUGGACGACGUGAUCUCCUGGAAUGAGGACGGCUCGACGUUCGUGGUGUGGCGGCCGGCGGAGUUCGCGCGCGACCUCCUCCCCAAGUACUUCAAGCACAACAACUUCUCCAGCUUCGUGCGUCAGCUCAACACCUACGAAAAUCGUGCCGGACCGGUGGGAGUUCGCCAACGACUGCUUCCGCCGGGGCGAGAAGCGCCUGCUCUGCGACAUACACCGCCGGAAGGUGGUGCCGGCUCCGGCCUCGCCGGCGGCGGGGCUGGCGACUGCCGCAGCGGCGGCGGCAUCUGGGGCCGUGACGGUGGCCGCGGCACCGAUUCCCAUGGCGCUGCCGGUGGCACUCCCGGGCUCGCCGGCGCUCUCCUCCGACGAGCAGCUCCUGUCGUCCAACUCCGACUCCGGGGAGGACCACCCGCAGGCGCCGUCGGGCUCCGGCUCCGGCCUAGGCGGUGGCGGCAGCGGCGGGUCCGCGUCCGGCGACAUGGGCGAAGAGAACGAGCGUCUCCGCCGCGAGAACGCGCGGCUUACCCGCGAGCUCGGGCAGAUGAAGAAGCUCUGCAACAACAUCCUCCUCCUCAUGUCCAAGUACGCCUCCUCCAUGCAGCUCGACGCCUCCGCGGCGCUGUCCUCCGUCGUCAACUGCUCCGGCGAGUCCUCGGACGCCGUGCACCCUCCGCUACCCCUGCCCCCGGCGAUACUCGAACUGAUGCCCUCGUGCCCGGCCCUGGCCACCGCGGCCGCCGGCGGGGAGCCCGACCCUGCCGCGAGGCUGUUCGGCGUCUCCAUCGGCCUGAAGCGGACGCGCGACGACGACGGCGACGGCGGUGGCGAGGACCCGACGGACCACGGCGGCGGCGCGGAGGUAAAGCCGGAGGCGUCGGAUCCGCAUUCAGGCAGCGAGGAGCCGUCGCCGGACCAGCACCCGUGGCCCAUAUACCGGCCCACGCCCCUGUACCACUCGACGCGGGCCUGUAACGGGCGGGACUCCAGGGCCGGGUCCGGGUCCGGGUCCGACCAAGACGGGUCCAACUCCAGGAGCAUUUGCAUAUACGAGCAACCGUGAUUUGCACGGGUGGUUCUUGGAACCGCGUGUUCACCAAAAGUUUGGUACGAGUCAAAUGGCAGGUUUGUAAACCUGCAGACGUCAUUGCCAACUAGAAGGCGCGCUUUAAUUUGGUCUCGAUUCCUUGAGGUGAGGUUUGGAUGCUGCAUGGUACUUCAGAUAGGGACGCGUUCGCCUUUCUCUAUUGUUCUCCGUUGCCAUCAUUUCAUUUGCCUGGCCGGUGGGUCCCCUGGAAUCGUGGGAAGAAUUGUGGAGCUUUUCGAUUCCAGACCCAGAAAAUUUUGAUCACAAAAACAUUCCGAACCUCCAUUUCAGUUCGUUGACAGACCAUCGUAUUUUUAACUUUACUCUUU